UCCUCCCUCAAACCUCGUGUUUGGUGUUGGGCUGAGUUGCUUCCGCGACUGGCCUCAAAGACAAUGACGGCGUCCGCGGGACCCUCGGUGCAACGAGCUUUUAGGAGCACGCGUCGAGUUUCAAGGUCCCUCCGGGCCGGUCUAACCCUUUUUACUUCAAGGUUGACCUCGGAUCAGGUAGGAAUACCCGCUGAACUUAA
rnacentral:misc_RNA from 1 species